rnacentral:rRNA from 1 species
GAUGAACGCUGGCGAGAUGCCUUACACAUGCAAGUCGUACGAGAAUUUUUAAUUCAAGUGGCGGACGGGUGAGUAACACGUAAGAAUUUGCCUUUAGGAGGGGGAUAAUAACUGGAAACGGUUACUAAUACCCCAUAUGCUUUCGAGUGAAAUGGAGUUUUCCGCCUAGAGAGAAGCUUGCGGCUGAUUAGCUUGUUGGUGGGGUAAUGGCCUACCAAGGCGACGAUCAGUAUCUGGUUUGAGAGGAUGAUCAGACACACUGGAACUGAGACACGGUCCAGACUCCUACGGGAGGCAGCAGUGGGGAAUUUUCCGCAAUGGGCGCAAGCCUGACGGAGCAAUCUCGCGUGAGGGAUGACGGCCUAUGGGUUGUAAACCUCUUUUUUCAGGGAGGAAUAAAAUGACGUGUACCUGAAGAAUAAGCAUCGGCUAACUCCGUACCAGCAGCCGCGGUAAGACGGAGGAUGCAAGUGUUAUCCGGAAUCACUGGGCGUAAAGCGUCUGUAGGUGGUUUAGUAAGCCAACUGUUAAACCUUGAAGCUCAACUUCA